GUAAAUCCUUGUUUUUUUGGUUUGCAGGUUUGAAUUUAUAUUUAAAAAAGUAUGACUGUUAGGGAGUUAGUAUAUGGGAGAGAAGAUUUGGAUUAGACUAUAGUGGAAAAGUAUCGUAGGAGAAGGGUUUAUUUAGUGUAUUCAGUAAAAGUAAAAGUAAGUGUUUGUACCUUUUGUAUCAGGGACAGCCAAUAUUUCUAGUGUAUAUUACUACGGUCCCGAAGUGAGAGGAGCUAGUUUUUUGGGUAUUGCUAUGUGGUAAAAUAGUAUGUAAUUGGGGGCUAGUGAUGAUAUGUUAGACGGCUCUUGUAUAUCUGGUUUUCUUUUAGAUAAAUUUAAUUUAGUUAUUAGACUAGAGGUAGUUUAAUAGGAAAUGGCAGAGGGGAUGAGCUCUUUGUCUUAAAGCUUAUAAGGAGAGAUCUUUAUUAAUACUGAGUUAGGCUUAAAAGCAGCCACACUAAUAGAGCGUUUCAGCUAAGUUACUGUUUAGGAGAUUUUAUGUGAUUUUUAAGUGGAAAUUAAGAGGGAGUAGCUUGGGCUAUGAGAGAGUUAGUUAGAGUGGUUGUAUAAGUAGAUAGUGUUGUUAGUUUUUUAUUUUGAGUAAAGUUAAAUUAUACUUCGAGGAAGCUAAGAAAAAGGAAUUCGGCAAAGAGUACCUCUGCCUGUUUAUCAAAAACAUGUCUGUGUGAAAAUAAUGCAAAGUCUGGCCUGCCCACUGAGUAUUUGAAGGGCCGCGGUAACUUGACCGUGCGAAGGUAGCAUAAUCAAUAGUCUUUUAAUUGGAGGCUGGAAUGAAUGGUCGGACAAGGGGUAGUCUGUCUUUUAUGUAAAGAUUGAAUUUAACUUUUAAGUGAAAAGGCUUAAAUUUUCUAAAGGGACGAUAAGACCCUAUAAAACUUUAUAGAGUUUGAAAUAUUUUUUAAAUUUGGGUGUAAUGAAAUUUAUUUUUGCUUUAUUACGUUGGGGCGACGAGGAUAUAAAUUGUAACUGUUUGUUGGUUAAAAUAAAAGUAUUUAGAGAGGUUGAUCCUUUAUUAUGGAUUAUAAGAACAAGUUACUUUAGGGAUAACAGCGUAAUUUUUUCUGAGAGUUCUUAUCGACGAAAGUAGUUGCGACCUCGAUGUUGAAUUAAAGUUUUCCCAAGGUGCAGAAGCUUUGGUUGUGGGUCUGUUCGACCCUUAAAACUUUACAUGAUUUGAGUUCAAACCGGUGUGAGCCAGGUUGGUUUCUAUCUUUUAGGUUUAAAUUAAUUACUCUAGUACGAAAGGACCGGGUUGUUGGAAUAGUUUCUUAUUAGAAGAUGAAUGUUA
rnacentral:rRNA from 1 species